CGCACGCUCGUCGGCGCUCGUGGUGCUCGCAGUGCUCGUUCGCUGUGUCGCAGGCGUUUCUUUGAUUGUUGUCUGUGGUCGCCUGCUCCCUGCCGUACUUGCGCGGAGUCUAUGUAGUUGGUAGCUGCGGUGAAGUCUUUUUCGGCGGUUUGUGUGCUCCUUCGUGCGUGAGAUGGCUGUUUGUCUUACACAGAGGGUGACAUUCAAAAACUUUGCCGUCGUAAAACCUGCCGCCGCUUGGUUCAGGGGCUUGCGAGCACUGCAUUGUUUUGCAUUCUUUCCCUUGGCAGCUGACAACUUUGAAUACGGUACAAAGAAAGAUACUGUAGAUGGGAAAACACAGGCUACUGUCAGUGGUCUGAUUUCUGGGCCAACUGAGGAUAUCAAAAGCACCAUUCUUAAGUCUGCGCUUGACUUUAUUCCUCAGCAUGGCUGGACGUGGAAGUCCAUAGCAGCUGGUGCCAGUUCCUUGGGGCUCUCCAGCGUUGCGCACGGCCUUUUUCCAGGUGGGAGUGUUGAUCUGAUAACAUAUUUCUACUUGUCCUCAAAUGAUGAACUGGAGCGCCAACUUGAAAGCAAUGUACAGAAGAAUGAGCGGAGAACUGUAACCAAGGAAAAGUCUGCCUUCAUCCAAGAUGCUGUAUGGAGAAGAAUUUUGCUCCUUGAGCCAUACAAAACCAGAUGGGUCCAGGCACUUGGAAUCUUGGCUUUGCCUCAAAAUGUCCCAGUUGCACUGUCCAACCUGGGAGACCUGCUGAAUGUCAUUUGGCACUAUGCAGGUGACAUGUCAACUGAUAUGAGCUGGUACUCGAAAAGAGCUGCUUUAGCUGCACUCUACCAGAGCUCCGAACUUGUGUUUCUGCAAGAUAAGUCUAUGGACUAUGCUCAGACACAAGAGUUUCUCAACAGACGCAUCAAGGAGUUUACCGCUGUUAACAGCUGCCUGGAGCAGCCCCUUACCCAAGUGAAAGCUUAUUUCUGCAGCACGAGGUAUCAGUGCUGCAUAAAGGAAAUGAUGACUAAGUGAAUCAAGUCAGUGGUACUGCAAAGGAUGUAGCUGAACUGGGAUUUGCUACGCUAAAGAAUGUUCUGGGAAUGAACACUCGUUAACAAAAAAAACAGUUUGGAUUAUGUGUAUUUCAAUAAGCAAUUGGUGCAAAUAAAUUUGAUCAGACCUUCUGAUGUA